rnacentral:rRNA from 1 species
AUGACGUCAAGUCAUCAUGGCCCUUACGGCCUGGGCUACACACGUGCUACAAUGGUCGGUACAAAGGGGUUGCCAAGCCGCGAGGUGGAGCUAAUCCCAUAAAACCGAUCGUAGUCCGGAUCGCAGUCUGCAACUCGACUGCGUGAAGUCGGAAUCGCUAGUAAUCGUGAAUCAGAAUGUCACGGUGAAUACGUUCCCGGGCCUU